rnacentral:rRNA from 1 species
GACGGAGGGUGCAAGCGUUGUUCGGAAUUACUGGGCGUAAAGGGCGCGUAGGCGGUUUGCUAAGUUCGGUGUGAGAGCCCCUGGCUCAACUGGGGAACGGCGCUGGAAACUGGCAGACUAGAGUACCGGAGAGGAGGGUGGAAUUCCUGGUGUAGCGGUGAAAUGCGUAGAUAUCAGGAGGAACACCGGUGGCGAAGGCGGCCCUCUGGACGGAUACUGACGCUGAGGCGCGAAAGCGUAGGGAUCAAACAGG